rnacentral:lncRNA from 1 species
UGUGAGGUUUUUUGAUAACUUUAACUGUACCCAUUUCUUAAUUUUUCCUUUUUGUUUCUUCUUUUGUAAUGGAUUGGAAAAGCUUUCCUAGUUCAGGCAAGAUCUUUGCCUGAACUGAUGAAGUGGUGUCGCAGUUGAAAGCACUCAGGUUUUUGUGUUGGGUGUAGUGUGAGUUUCAUAUUUUCUUCCCAACAAUUUUAACGUAUUUAUAGAGUAAUAUGUCCGAAACUUUAGUUUUAUCGGAUCUAUUGAUUGUAUUUUAUUUGGUUUUAUAAAAAUAAAAUUAUGAUUUUACCUCUGCAAUUUGUCAGAACACGUAAUAUUGCCUCUGCAUUUUUUUAGAAAUAUAUAAUUUUGUCUCAACCUUUUGCCAAUUCUUUUAUAAUUCUUUAUCAAUAAAUUAUUAUUUUAUUUUAAAAAUUAAUUAAUGUAUUUAUUAACUAUCUUAUCCUUAUAUUUUUCUUAAUUAACUAAUCUCUUCCUCGAUUUAAUGGAAAAUGUAUAAAAAUAAUAGAAGGAUAUAAAAGUACAACGGCGGAAAAAGAUAGGAACAAAAUUAUAUAUUUCUAAUAAUAUGGAAAAUGUAUAAAAAUAAUAGAAGGAUAUAAAAGUACAACGGCGGAAAAAGAUAGGAACAAAAUUAUAUAUUUCUAAUAAUGCAUGAGCAAAAUCCUUGCAUUUUGAUAAAAUAUAAGGAUAAAAUAAUUAUUUUUUAUAAAAUAUUCAGAUCAAAUAUAAUAGUCAAAAGCGUGUGAUUUAAAAUGGCCUAAUAAAAAAUUAAUUGAGAUUAAUUAAAUAUAUUUUUAUUUUAAAGUCAUAUUUAGUAUGAGAGAAACCUCAUCCCUCUCUUUCUUUUUUUCGCCCCCAUGUCACCACGUGGGAGGGAUAUAGAGACGUAAAAAGGGGAUCCUAUCAUGAGCUUGGUCUUACUUCACCAUCGAGAAAGAAGACUUCCGGCGACAAGUUUAACUUAUAUGUAGCUUCCUUCUUUUUGGAUGUGAAACAGUGUCAAAUCAAAAUAUCCAACAAGCAUUACCUCUCCCUAGUGUUUAUUAAAUUUUAAAGAGAAUAAAUUUAUAAUUUAUUUUUUUUAAUCACUAAAUAUUAGAAUAAAUGAAUACUAUAAAUAAUAAACUAUUUUGUUGCUGAACCGUGCAGUGUGGAGCCGUAUCUUAACUGGAGUGCACGACAUUCAAGAGCCUAGGAGUAGUUACUCCUUUUAGUUAUGAAUCAAUAAAUGCUCCACUUGCUGCGGCUCAGCAGCAAUGUCAGUACAACAAAUAUCGGUCCAAUAAGAAUCAUAUAGAUAGAAUCCAUAAAUAAAAUAAUCUUUAAAUAUGAUCAGUUUUGAUUUGACAGAAAUUUUUUUUUUCUUUUUGUCUCAUCUAAUCAUAGAUUAUUAUUACUAAUUCUAUAUUUAAAAUUCUAAACAAAGCGAGAUUAUUAUUAAUUUGAUUAUUAAAUUGAGAUGGUUAAAAUGGGAAUAAAGAUUUAAAUGAGAUAUGGUUUUUAUUCUCCUCUAAGAAACAAUAUUUUGGAGGAAAGCCAUGGGGAACCUUAAUGACAUAACACGGAUCAUUUUAAGUACGGUGUUUUAUUAGGAAAAAAAAAAUUAACUAAAGAAUAUGAUUUAAUCAUAUUAAUUAUAUUUAGUUUUCUUUCUAAUAAAUUUUAAAUAUAUUAUCAUUUUGAAUAAAAUUUAGAUUUAGUCUUAGAUCGAGUGUUUUUGACAUUUUCUUAUUGUAUUAUUAAUUUCUCUUAGUUCAUGGAGUUGUUCCUCGUCAUUGAAGAGUUUUUAUUUAGAUAUUUUAUUUCUUUAGUAAUUCGAAAUACGAGAUGGAUUGUUAGUUGCUUGUGGUUGAAGACUUCAUUACUUCAAGUUUAGAUGAGUUUCUUUUAUCAAUGGAGCUUGAUAGGGCGACUUAUUCAUCCAUUAAAGCUUGUUAUAUUAAACUUUUCUGUAAAUGUCAAUUGUAAUAAAUUUCCGGAAAAAAUAAUAUUUAGAGUAAUAUUGUGGAAGGUUUUUUUUGUCGUCUUAUUUGAAAAUAGACCAGUUUUUAUCCAAAAGAUUAAUCUCUUCUGUUCAUAUCAAGAACAUCUCCGGACGAAAGGUUUCAGUUUUCUAUAUUUAUAUUUUUUAUUUCUAGAGCAAUAUUAUGAUGUACUCAACUUAUAUUCAUUAUUAAUGAAUUAUUAAAUUUUUUUAAAAAAAUCAUAUUAAUUAUAUUUUCUUAAUAAGUAUGAAAACGAUAGAUGUAUUAUCAAAUCCAGUGGGUGGUUGAAGACUUCAUUACUUCAAGUUUAGAUAAGUUUCUUUUAUCAAUGGAGCUUGAUAGUGCGACUUAUUCAUCCAUUAAAGUUUGUUAUACUAAACUUUUCUGUAAAUGUCAUUUGUAAAUUUCCGGAAAAAACAAUAUUUAGAGUAAUAUUGUGGAAGGUUUCUUUUGUCGUCUUAUUUGAAAAUAGACCAGUUUUUAUCCAAAAGAUUAUUCUCUUCUGUUCAGAUCAAGAACAUCUCCAGACGAAAGGUUUCAGUUUUCUAUAUUUAUAUUUUUUAUUUCUAGAGCAAUAUUAUGAUGUACUCGACUUAUAUUCAUUAUUAAUGAAUUAUUAAAUUUUUUUAAAAAAAUCAUAUUAAUUAUAUUUUCUUAAUAAGUAUGAAAACGAUAGAUGUAUUAUCAAAUCCAGUGGGUGGUUAGCCUUCCAAAAUUCAAAGACAAAAAAUCUAAUAAAAAGAUUAUAUUUGACUCCUAAGAAUUCAUAAAUUUCAUUUUGCGCUACCAAAAUGUAUAUUGAUGUUUUCUAAUUUUGCCUCUCCCUAUUACUAUGGAAUAAAUAAAGUAUCUUCUUAUAUGAUAUUAUCUAACUCAUUAUAUUUGAGCUAAUUUGUUAAUAUAUAUAAAAGGAAAAUGUCAUAUAAUGAAAAGUCAAGCUAUUGAGAUUGGAGGAGAUAUAUGUUCUUCCAGAGUUGAAGAUAGAAUUGUUAGAUCUUUCAGCAAAUAACACAAUUUUUGGGUAAAAAGCUUAUUAUCUUUAUUAGAGGAAAAUGGGAUGGAUGAGACAAGUGUCUCUUUCAAUUUUAAACAAAUUUGAUCACCUUUACCGCCGGCUAUAAGUCUCCUUUUUUGACUUGGAGAGCCUUGAUCUCAGUCGGCAAUGGCAAAGCAUUAUUAAGAUAAAAGGUUUUCCUGCAAUCUGAAAGUCUUUAUUGUUUGUAACAAUGAGGUCCUUGUGGUUAGCAAGAAACAAAAAUGCUUUUUAAUAAUGACACAAAGAAUCCAAAGGUUUUCCUGCAAUCUGGAAGUCUUUAUUGUUUGUGACGAUGUGGUCCUUGUCAUUAGCUAGAAACAAAAAUGCUUUUAAUGACAGACACAAGGAAUCCAUAAGAAGUUAUCGAAAUGGUUAACGGCUAGAUGUUUUAGCCGUUAAAAGCUAAAUAUCAAUGAUUAGUACUUGUCUUCCUUGGAAGUAUGUAGAGCAAGUGGCAAUAGUCUAGUCUUUACAGUGUUAAAUUUGUUGCAGCUUGUUCUGUAUCAUGGCUAAGAAAGUUGUUGAUGCUGAGAAUCCUCAUUUGGCUUGGUUCUAAAUGAGUUUUUUUGCUGUCCACUCCUUAUGUUUUUAAGUUUGCUGCAGCUUGUUCUUUAUGCCUGUUAAGGUCUGCGUGUUCGUGUUUGUUGCAGUGGCUUUAAAUCAUUACCAUUUCUUUUCUCAAGAAAUGUUGAUGAUUUUGCGGGCCUAUCUUCAUUUGGGCUUUGUCGUUCGACUUAGUUAAUUGGAUUUUUUGAUUUUUUUUUUUUUGGAUACUGCAAUGUCUUUUAGUUUGGUGUUUACAAUGUCUUGAUUGAUUUUUAAUACUUAAUUUGUCCAGAUUAGGUUGGAUGUAAAUAAAAAAUCUAUUGAUUUGGGUUAGUAUUUGAAUAAAUUAAAUUUUUUCUGAAUAUUACAAUUGAAUAAUAAUCUACUUUGUUGAUAAAAAAAAAAUAAUUUGACUUGUCUAAAUAUAGCAGAGGUUUUUUAUUUUUAUGUGCCAAGAGCUAUCUCGGUUGCGUGCUAAAUUGGCUUCUUAGUCUCAAUGAUGUGUGAAAGACAAUGAAAAGAUCCAACCAUUUUAAUAAGUAUACGGAAAGAUCCUUCAAUGGAUUUAACGAUUGUCGUUUUGUUAUGUUCUCUGCUAGAUGCUAAGUUUAUGACAAUAUUCAGUCGUUUUCACUUUAGAAAAAACAGAUGGAAAAAUUAGGGUUACUUAAUUGAGUUUGUUAAAGAAGAUUAGACGUUUUGUCCACCGAAUAUAGAAUUAGUCGUAAUGAAAUUUUAGUCAAAUCUUGAAAUUACAAAAUUGAUGUUUCAUAAAAUAAUUUCAAUAAUAAAAACUAAAACGACAACAAGCUCUUCGCUUUAUUUAUGAUAAAGCAAUAAAAAUAAACAAGCAAAAGAUAUAGAGAGAUGAAUUUCCGUCUAAGAUUUUCGCGAGCCAUUCAAUAUACAAAGGGAAGACUACUCUCAUCGUGAAACCUCAACCACCUGAAUUUGUAAAAUAUAUCAUCUGGAUGUUUUCAUCGUGUUCUAAAUUCCUUAUGGAAGAAAACUUUAUUAUUGUAGCUACUAGCUAGAGUUUGUUGAUCUUUUAAUAAAUUAAAAGAAUUAUUUAUAUUCUUUUAAAUAUAAAAUUAAAAUUAAAAGAUAUGAUAUUACAUCUUUCUAGUUGAAAUGAUUUUGAUAAAAAAUGUAAAUCUUCGUAGUAGUAACAUAUCCUUUGAUUAAUCUAGACAACGAAAUAAUUUCUCUAAAUCUUUUAUAUCUUAAUUAUUUUUCUAAUACUUUGUUGCAUAUGACAUCAUAAAUGAGUUCCGCCACCAUAUGUCAAUAAGAUUAAUGGAUGAGCAUGUUAUAUUUUCAAACUCUAUUAAUCAAAGAUUCACAUAUACGAGUAAGAUCUAAAUUCUCUAAUCAAAUAAUAUCAAAUUUCACACCUAAGAUUAAUAACAAAUCCUUGCAAAAGAAUGAAUCGAAAUCCCAUGAAAGAAAAGACGAAAAAUCUCCAAAUAUACAAACAAAUCAAAGUAUAGAUGAAUCUACGUAUUUAAGAAUUAUAGAAUUUCAGUAGCUACUAAACAUCGAAAACUUAUUUUCUCAAACAAGCAAGAGACCGACUGUUAUAAAGGACGAAAUGGCCUGCUUCUCUGGGAGUUUCUUCUCCUCCCUUAAGUUGAUAGGACAAUCUUUUACUUGAAGGAGCCAGUUUGGUAGCCUGGUAGGAGUAGAUUAUAUAUGUAUGAGUAUCAAAAUCAAGAAAGUCCAGUGACAUGUUUUAUUUGCCUUACGUGGUAUGAGUAAAAAAAUUUCAAAUAAAAAAAUAUAUAUACUUUACUCCUGCAAAUUUUAAAAAUUUUGUUUCACUCUCUUGAAUUUCUUUUCUAAUUCCGACCCUGCCUAUUAUGUUUGAGUUCAUUUUUUAUACAUAUAUAUAUAUAUAUAUGUUAAAGGUUUAAUUGCCCAUAUUAAGCUCUUAUAUAUCACGGAAUAUAAAAUUAGCCAUACACGGAAAAAUUUCAGUCAAAUCUUGAAAAUAUAAAAUUGCUACUAUUUCAUAAAAUAAUUUAUUUCACAUAUAAAUUCGGUUUAAUAUGUUAGAAUAUCUUAAAUUUUUUGUCAAUUUUAUCAUAAUUUCGAUCUUUUAAAGCAAUAUCACCCCUUAAUUGUAAUUAAAGGUAAAAUUGCAAAUAAAAAAUAUUUUCAUUAUUUUUUAAAUCAUUAUGUUAAAGAAUAAAAAUUUGAAAAAAAAAAUUCCACGCUAAGUUUUAGUUUUGAGAUAAAUAUGCUAAUUAAUAAUUUAGUAACAUAAAAUUUUUGUUACAGACUAAAAAAUCCCAAGCAUUGCAAUAAAAUAAAAUUAAUAAAUAUAAUUUUAAUUACCCUUUUAUAUUGUCUAUAUUUUUAAGGAUUAAAAAAAUCUUAAUUGUGGUAAACAAAAUUAUUAUUCAUUUAAAAAAGUAAAUAAAUAACUUCCCAAUAAAAUAAUUGCAUAUGUCUCAAAUAUCAUAUUUCUAAAUUUAUAAAUGUGUCACCCACUGGAUGUGAAUAUAAUUUGAUAUUCAAAAUACGUUUAGAAUUUACUUUAUCAUUAGUUUUUUUUAAACUAAAGGAAAAUUUUUUUUAUUUACAAUUUUAUCUUUAAUUGCCAUUGAGAAUAAUAUUGCUGUAAAAAGUCGAAAUUAGAGUAAAAUCGAUAGAAAUGUUAAAACAGGAUUAAAUUAUAAAAGGCCACAAAGUUCGGAGUAUUCUGAGUUAGGUUUAUAAAUUCAAACCAAAAUUGUUUUGAAGGAAACACAUGAAAAAUUAAACUUACAUUUAAUAAUUUUAAAAUAAUAAAAUAUUUAUAUUUAAGGUGGAAAGGUGUUUUUUUUUUUUUAAAUUAAAAUAUCGUAAUGACCUAAAUUAGACCAAUUCCCAACUAAUUUAAUUUUUUACAUCCAUAUUAAUACACUACCCGAUACCAAAUAACUCCAACAAAAUCAGUACCGAAAUAUUCGCUAGUUUAAUUCGAAUCUUAUAUAUAUAUAUAUAUAUAUAUAUAUGUUUUACAGUAAAUGACAAAAUCACUCCAUUUAAAAAUUUCCAAUGUAAUCCAAGACAACGGACGAGCAUGUUUAUAUAUCAAUUACUCCAACUCAUUUUAAUUUAUUUUUUAUACAUUUAAUCAGUAAUUAAUUAUUAUUCAACAAAACUUAUCAGUCAUUGUUGUUAUUAUUAUUGUUACUAAUUAGUCCAUGUCAGAAUUUUAAACAUAAUCUGAAAAUUUUCCAAUGUACACAAAAAAGACAAAUUGUAUACACGUAAAUAAUUGUUUAGACCUUAAUAUUUAGUUAUAAUCACGAUUUCAUUGCUCUUAUUUUAUUAAUAUGUUGAUUAGUCCUAUUAAGAUAUUUAAAUUACAAUUUAGUCCUUAUUUAAUGGUAAAAAUACCACUUUUUAGAUGAAGGAUUGAAUAAUUUAACAACAUCUAACCUUAUGAAGUAAUUAGCAAUAAGAUAUUAAGAUAUGAAGUUAUAUAUAUAAAAGGACGACUGAAGAAUCCUGGAACACCCCCCCCCCCCCCCCAACAAAAAAAAAACAAAAAAAAUUUUUCUUUGAUUUUGGGUCUCCAAUAUUGGAAAAUUUUUCUUUAGCCCCCUUUUAAUUUUGGAGUCUAGCUCCGCCCUGUGUGUAAAUAUAUCAAUUUUUCAUUGCAUUUUCAUAGGCAUUAGGAAAAGAGAAUAUGGGUUCCCUUAGCAAACCUCAUGCAGUGUUGAUCCCAUUUCCAGCACAAGGUCACAUAAAUCCAUUUAUGCAACUUGCUAAGCUUUUGCAUUCAAGAGGCUAUCAUAUAACCUUUGUAAACAAUGAGUUUAACCAGAAACGAUUGCUAAGGUCAAAAGGGCCAGAGUUGAUGCAGGGCUUACCUGCAGAUUUCAGAUUUGAUGCUAUUCCUGACGGGCUGCCUCCGUCUAACCCUGAUGCCACGCAAGACAUCCCUUCUCUUUGUGACUCAGCCCGGAACUACAUGUUGGGUCCGUUCAGAGAACUACUGGCUAAAAUCAAUUCCUUGUCGUCUGAUCAAGUGCCUAAGGUAACUUGCAUUAUUUCUGAUGCAAUCAUGUCGUUUGCUCUUUUAGCAGCCGAAGAAUUAGGGGUUCCUGGAGUCCCAUUUUGGACUAAUUCUGCUUGUGGCUUCAUGGCUUAUUUGCAUCUUGGGGAGCUUGUCAAGAGAGGCCUCGUUCCGUAUAAAAGUAUAUAUUUUCUCGUUUAUCUCCUUUCAUAUAUGUGUGUUUAAUGUUUAUGUUGUUUUUUACUUGGUUUCAUUUGAAUAGUUAACAAAUACAUUGCUAAAGUUUAAUGGACGCUAGAACUUCUUUUUGAAUUUUAUAUAUAAAAAUCUCAUAGGAGAUACACUUUAGGUUAGAAAAAGAAAAUAAUUUGUCAUAUUGUUCAUGAACUCUGUAUUUUUUUUAGAAGUAUAUAUAUAUAUAUAUAUAUAUAUUAAUUAGUUGCCAUGUGGAUUAACUCUGAGUUAUUGAUGAACAUUCAAACAAAAAUGUGCUUAAAAAACAACUAAGAUAUAAGCUUUGUUCAGCAAUAUUAAUUGGAAAAUAUUUAUCUAGAUCAGGUUUAUGAUCCAUCUAUGGACCUAAAAUAAUGAAAAUAAAAAUUUUUUUAAAAAUUAUUUUUAUUUAAUCAUUUUUGCCUAGUGUACGGUAAAAAAAUACUUCGUUUCAAUAAAAUUAUUAUUUUAAUUGAUUUGGUCCAUAGGUUGGGCCGCAGACUGGCCUAGAUAAUUAAAUCUAUCAUAUAUUCAUUAGUUAUUAUACUAGUUGUGAGAUCUUAUAAUGGUUAUCACUUACUAGCUCCUAGUUAUUAAAUAUUAAGGAGGGUAAAGUUUUAUAAUCUACUCUUACAAUCUCUCUCUGAACACUCAUAUAGACGCUAUGCUACUAAAUAGUAUAAAUAAUAGAAAUUUAGUGAAAACAUUGAAUACUACUUUAUAACUGUUGCUGGCCAUAGAAGUUUCAGGUAGUGUUUGGUCCCACAAACCAUUAAGCUUGAGCUUUUGUGUUUAAUAAAUUUAAUUUAUUGGCUAAUGGAUAAUAGUGCUUGAUGCUUCCGGAAGUGAUGUUAUUGUUCUGAGAGCUAAAAGUUGAUCCAUAUAAUCAUCUCAAAUACAAAUGGAACUAUUGCAAUUUUUUUUCCUUUUUUGUUUUACCCUUAUCUAGAGAUCAAGCAAUUAAUUUCUAAUUUGAUGUGUUUCAGGUGAAAACUUUGAUACUGAUGGCAGUCUUGAAACACCAGUAGAUUGUAUACCAGGUAUUGAAAAUGCUACGCGCAGGUACAUGCCAUUUGCCACCAGAACCACUGAUCCAAACUCCCCAUUUUGGAAUUGUUUGCAAUAUCUAGUCCCUGCCAAUUUACAAGCUCCUGCAAUCAUCUUAAAUACAUUCGACAAGCUUGAACGUGACAUCGUAGAAAAAUUCAAUCCCAUAUAUUCUCAUAUUUACACAAUUGGCCCUUUAUCCCUCCUAGAAAAUCAAGUGCCUAAAUUAAGUCCAAUAGCGUCAUUUAGAACAAACUUAUGGGAGGAUGACAGUAAAUGCCUAGAGUGGCUUGAUAAAAGAAACCCUAAUUCAGUUAUAUAUGUUAAUUGUGGUAGUAUAGCAAAAAUUUCAAACAAGCACCUUAAAGAGUUUGCAUGGGGACUUGCAAAUAGUAAACAUCCAUUUUUGUGGAUAAUUAGGCCUGAUAUUGUUAAGAAUAUGUCUGAAUUACUUGAGGAACAAUUUUUUGAGGAGAUUAAGGAAAGGGCAGUGUUAGCAAGUUGGUGCGAACAAGAAAAAGUAUUGUCUCAUCCGUCGACUAGGGUUUUUUUAACACAUUGCGGAUGGAAUUCUAUUAUCGAAGGUAUUUGUAGUGGUAUGCCUAUGAUUUGUUGUUAUUAUUUGGCCGAGCAGCCGACGAAUUGUUUAUUUGCAUGUAAUGUUUGGAAGAUUGGUUUGGAAAUGAAUCCUGAUGUGAAGCGCGAGGAAAUUAGUUUUCUUGUGAAACAAAUGAUGGAAAAUGAGAAUGGGAAGAAAAUGAAAGGAAAGGCUAUGGAAUGGAAGCAAAUGGCAGAAGAAACUACUAAAAUUGGAGGUUCUUCUUAUGGAAAUUUUAAUAAGUUUAUGGAAGAUGUUCUAUGCUACGGCAAGUGAUCAGUCUGAAAUUGUGUGGUAUUAUCACCUCAUUCUAGCAAGAAUCAUGAAGAAGUGACACCUCAAUAUUUCAAUUUGCUAUAAAACUGGUUACCUGUUAAACAGUCUUUUAUUAGAUUAAUUUUUUUUUAUAUUUUUUUUAAAAUAAAUUUUGUUUAUCUUUGAAAGCAUGCAUACAACUCUAAAUUUAUCCUUCAUUGGGAAAAAUAAAUUACCUCCAUUCGUCUCAUUUUGUUUGCUUGUUAUUUAGUUUUUGGAUAUUCUAAAAUGUUUACAAGGUUUCCAAAUUUAUAUAUGUAAAUAAUUAUUUUUUUCAUAAUAACUUUUAUGAUUGUUUAUUAAAUAAAUUACUUUUAUCAAUAUCUUAAAAUGUUAAGGGUGAAAAAAGGGCAAAAUAGUUUUGGUUGACUAAAUUCUUAAGUUUUGUCAAACUAUGCAAAUAAAAUAAAACGGAGGGAGUAUAUACUAUAUACCAUUGCGGUUUAUAUAAAUAUUAACAACAAGAUCAUUAAAUACCCUGUAAUUAUAUAAUCUCAUAUGAAACUAUGCAUAAUCAAUUUCACUUUAAAGGAUGAUGAUUAAAAAAAUUCGAUGUAAAUAUCAUAGUGGUUUGGGAAUUUGAGCAAAACAUAUAGAUUAAAUAAAAUAGAAAAAGAAAUAUGCAUAUUUAAAGAUAGAUUUACAAAGUCAAUUGAAAUUUUAGAAUUAUAUAAUUUUUCAUGAAUCGAAAGUAAAUUUGGCAUUCUAAGAAACAAAAGAAAGUACAUUGGUUGUUUUUUAAUCCGCACAUUGUGCUAGUUAUCUAAUUGAUGUAUUUAUAGUUUAUAAUUUAUAAAUAUAUUUUAAAUAUGAUACCAAGAAUACAAAUAGCAAUAAACUUUUAUAUUACUGUACUAUUGUCUAUUAAUAUUUUUCUAUAUGUAAUUUUUAAUAUUUAAAACAAUUAUUUGAAGUGUUACAUUAUUUUGAGAUAUUUAUUUAAUUCUUUUUUCUAAUUUUUAAUCUAAUUGAUCCACUGAUAUUAUUAUUUAAACAAAGAUUUAUUUUUAAUUUGAUAUUUUAAAAAUCAUAAAAAAAUUCUUAUGCAUUCUCUUAAUAAUUAUUUGAGACCAACAUUAUAUUUUGAAAACUAUCAAAAGUGAUCUAAUCAAUAUAUAUAUAUAAAAUUUCUAUAUAUGUAUGACUUGAUAAUGAUAUAUAUAGAUAUAUAAACUUUUAUUAAAAAAUAUAUAAUUUUUUAAAAUAAUUGUUUAUGCAUAUCAUUUAUGCAUAUAUACUAAUUAUUUUAAAUUUUUAUUUAAAAUAUACCUAAUUAUCUAUAUUUAUCUAUAAAAUAUAUAUAAAGAUAUAGAGAGAUAUGGAUAAAACAUUUCCAUUCAAAAAAAACUUUUAUGCAUAUUCUGAAUAUAAAUACGUAAUCAUAAUUCUAGCAAAUAAUUCCUCAACAACGGGCCAAAUGAUGAGAUCUCUAGCCAAAUUAAGCAUUAAUACGGGAAGUUAGAAGAUUUAUGAACAAUUCAAAAGGAAAAAUAAGAAAGAGAAUUAGCAACAUAUAUAAUAAUAUUUUUCUACCACCAUUUAAAUAUAUAUAUUUAAAUGAUGAAGAUUUCAAUGAUGAAGAUACUAAACUUUAAAAUUAAAAUACAAUAGAUUUCAAUGAUGAAGAUUGAUAUAAAUUUAUAUUUAUACACAAAUUCUUUCAAGAAAGAUUAUAGUCAAAAUGGGUAUUUGAUGUUGUUCACUCCAAAUAAAAAGAACAAACCCAGAAAAGAAUGUCUUAUUUUCACUUUCUUGCUUCAUCGUUUUGCCAAUACUUUUAUUAAAUCUUUAUUAGCAGCCCGUUUGAAAUAAAUGAAUUUUAUUUACAAAUUAUUUUAUUAGAAUUUUAUUGAUUAGUAUGUUGAUUAAUAUGUUUUGCAUUUAAUAAAUAAAUGAAUGCCUAGUAGAAUUUUAUUUACAAAUGAAUUUGUCAUGUUUAGUAUACUACAAUUUAAAAUAAGGAAUUCAAUUGAAUGCUAUAAAAUUAUGUUUGGAAUCAAUUCUUAAAUGAAAAUUUAUUUAUUUUUAUUUCUUAUCACACCUUUGACAUAAUAAUUUAAUAAAAAUAAAUAACAAAUACCAAUUAUAUCUAUUAUGUAGAAUAUAAUAACUUGUCAUUUUUUAUUAAAAUAUAAAUAAUAAAUUUCAUAUAAAUAAGUACAUUAAUAUUCCACACUAAUUAAUUAAUUAUGUAAGCAGUGACAUUCAUCAUAGUAAUUAUUUUUAGCUGAUGUAAAAUUUUUUGUUGAUUUAAGUAAUUAAUUUGAAAACUAAAAAUAAUAUUAAGAAUGUUAUUAUUGUUUUUAAUUGUAUUUGAAAAUAAUUGUUGAUACUCAAUUUUUAUAGUUUCACAGUAAUAAUAACUAACGUUAUUACUAGAGUUCAAAAAGAAAAAAAAAAAACAUUAUUACUAGUUUGAAAUUUUCAAAAACAAAAAAAAAACUAACAUCAUUAUUGGAUUAAAAAAAAUAACGUUGAUAUAGUUUGGAAUUUUUCAAAGAAAAUAAAUAAAAAUGAAAAAAACAAAAAUAGUUGAGUUUAUAGUGGAUGGUAAUUUUGUCAAUAAACAUUUAAACAUGGUCAAUUUUGUGAAAUUUAUUUAUAAUUCCAUCAAUUUUAGUAGAAUUUAAGUUAGGCAUACCCAAUUCUAUAGAAUUCAAUUUAUGGAAAUCUGUAUUUUUUUUCAUUCCAAACACAAUAUUUUAGAUUUUCAAAUGAAUUUCAUAAAAUUUUAUGGAAUUCAUUUGUUCGAAAAGGACUCUAGAUGUGUUUUAAUAUUUAACUUAUAACACAUGAGUAUUGACCAUUUCAAAUGAUGUUCGACCAUUUGUGCACAUUUUUCAUUUCCUUUAUAAAUUUAACUUAUAUUUGGAUAUUAAUUUAUUCACUAACCGUGAUUCUUGAUAUUAUUUUUUCUGAAAUUAAUUUAAAAUAUCAAUAUUAUGAAUAUUUUAUUGCUCCAAUAUAUUUCAUAAUUUUUGUGUUUUAUAUGUUUUUAAAGUUUGUCAUUUUUAACCGGAGUUUUUGAAAAAUUUUGCGUCUAAGAUGAUGAAAAAAAUGCAAAAUUACAUAAUAUACACGUGCGGCGUGUAUAUGAAUAGUUUCUACCAAAUUGCUUUCCCUUUUUCACGUGCUGCUAAAGAACCCCCAACUACCACAUUAUAAUGCUUCUGUAACUGAUAAUAUGCCCCCCACCUACCACAUUAUAAUGCUUCUGUAACUGAUAAUAUGCAUAUGCUAUUCACAUCACUGCGAGUGGCCUAACCUGUUAUAUAAUAAUAUUUUUGAGAUUCCACUAAUUAAGCAACAGCUCCUUAUAGAUUUGAAACGUGCACAUACAAACACCAAUGUGUAUAAUGCAAAAUGCCAAACUGCCCAUUAAGAGAGAGAGUGGGGAAAAUGGGUAAAACAUGUCCAUUUCUAUGAUGCCCAAAUUUGUUUGACAAAUUCCACAUUUAUCAAAUAAAAUAAAUAAUAACAUUACAUAUAAUGAAUAUGCAUACAUUGAUGUUCUCAGCAAUUAUGAGGUUAUGCCACUACUAUUGUGAGAAAUACCCGGUAUUCGAAUUCUAUUAUCAGGAAUUGUCUAAUUUAGUUCGGAACUUAAUCACAGUUAAGACUCUUCACCCCUUCCUACAGGUGCGUUUAAUGAGAAUCGAACCGCCACAUGCCCAGCAUGCGUUGCCAACUGAGCCACAACCCAUAGGUUGUGAGAAACUAUAAUCGAUAUGUUUUGUCUAAUAGUAUUAUGACUCUGUGGCCAGAGCUUUUAAGAAAGUGUUUAGAGUUUUGACUGCGUCAAAAUACUCUUUUUAUAUAUUAUGUCAUUGGGUGAGGUAGUAUAAAAAAUAGUUUUUAAUAGAUAAGAUAACUUUUAUUAAAACGUUAAGCCAACUAAUUUUUAGCGUUUCUAUUCUUUGAUUGAAAAUUUUUUUACAGUCUUACCCUUAAUUAACUUAUAUUAACAAUUUAACACGAGUUUAAAAUCUUUCUUUCCAAUUGUUGUUAUGGUACUGCAAGUUUGCAUGAUGUUAAAAAGUUACGUUAUAUUACACAAAAAAAAAAAAAAAAACAAAUUAAUUUAAUAACAACUUAAUAGAGCGACAUGUGAAGAAAUCCUAUUAUCAUUUUAGAAAUUGAUAGUGAUUUCAAUUUAUACAGUCAAACUACACACUAUAGAUUGACAAAAAAAUAAUAACUAUAUAAAUCAUCUCUUUUUUAUAUAUAAUGAGUUCCCUAUAGUCAUAAAUUAAAAUUCUAAUGCAAUAUUCAAAUGUAUUUUUUUAUCAUUUUAAAUUCAACGUCUAAUCAAAAAGCUAUUUUUAUUGGACACUCCUGCUUUAAAUAAUUGCAUAAACAGUUAAGAGCUACCAGUUAAUAUUUAACUGCUAACAAUUAUCAAAACAGCUAACAGGUACUAAAACAGUUAAUAUUGCCGAACAGGCCCUACAUAUACAAGACCAUUAUAUGCCUUAUUAUUUACACCUCCACAUUACAUAUUCUUUAAAAUAAUUGACUUCUUGUUCAUAAAAUCACAAUAUAUCAUAGUAAUAAGAAGUAUAGGUUUCAAGUUCUCCCUCAAAUGAUACACAGACACAAAUAGAGCUACUUAGUUGCUUUUAAUUCCUUUUCACGUGUUGCUAAAGAAUCCCAACUAUCAAUAUGUUGGAAGUUUGGGGUCGAAAGUAAUCUCAAGCGUGCAAAUACAGGUUUAAUUUUUAAGAAAUAUAUUUUAUUGAGAAAGCUAAAAACUUUUUAUAUUCUAUGAGUGGAAUUACACCUUUUAAUUAUAUGUAUGUUCCAUUGCUAUGGAAAAACACAUCAAUGUAAGUGAUUGAUCAUAUUUAUAGUUUUUUUUUUUUUUUUUCUAAAGGAUCAUAUUUAUAGUUAGGUAUAAGAUCAUGAUAUGGAUGAUUUUUUUUUAAACAUGAGGUAUUUAGGACUAUGUCCGUUUAACUCUUUAUUUAAUUUGAUUAGUUUGUUUGCUUUGAGGGGCAUGGAAGAUGACUCAUGAGAAUUUUAUAUUGAAAGUGUUCGAACUGAGGAUGUAAUGAAUCCUUUAAUCCCUCGUAUGCUAUUUACCAUUUAGCCAUGCACCUUUCAAUUAAUGGUAAUUGUUUCUUCGUCCCCGUUGAAAACAAUCAUUGUGAGACGAAAAUAAAAUCAUGAUCGACAUACACAAGCCUUUUUCCCGUUAAUGGGGUAUUAAUCACUUUUUUCAAAAUAGUAAUGACAAUUUUCAUAGGAUAUUGAUAAAAAAUACAUUUUUUUUUGUAAUUUUUACAAAAUUAUCAAGAUGUUAUCACUCUUUUGUAAAGUUUUUUUAUGUGAAAAAAGAAAAAAUAUAUUUGUGUCCCUAAAUUAUAUCAUAAUUAACCCUUUUAUUUUUCUAGUUUUGAGAAAUUACUAUGAUGUUUUUUACUUUUGCUUCAAACAAACUAUCAAAUUCUUCUGUAAAAGAAGUCAGUUAUUUUUCGUUAGUCAGACUCACUUUUUGGAUGAAACAUACUCACUUUUUUUUACAAAAAUGCCUAUUUUUUGGACAAAAUGACAUGAUAGUAAACGUAUAGCACAAAUUAAAGACGUCAUAAUAAUUUUUAAAAAUAGAGCGAUGAAAGUGUUGAUUAGAGUAUAAUUUAGGAUCCAAGUGUAUUUUAUCCGAUAAAAAUAAUAAUUCAAUGAAAAUUUUCUGAAUUGGCAUGUUUCAAAGUUUGGCAUGCCAUUGCCCGCAACUCAUUUUUAAACACAAUUUGAUUAAUUUUUGUAACCAACAAUCCACACGAUAUGAAAUUAUAAAUAGGCCAAAGCUUCAUGCAUAAAUCAACCUCUUCAGAUAAUUUUAAAGGUGUACUCCUUGCCUUCACUCCAAUCUUUCAAUCUAAUAAGUUCAGAAAUUUUAUUUUUAAAAUAUUCUUCAAUGAAAUUAAACCUUAGUUACUGAGAAAAAAAAGACUUUUGAAUUUUAUUAACUAUACUAAACUCAUUAUUUAAUCCAUAAGUGUUGAAAACUUGGGAUAAGUGGUUUGAUACUCUUAUCUCUUAAAUAAGAUUAAGGAUUAAAUCCUUUUUGAAUGAAGCAUAUAUUAGCCUGGAGCGCUUUAUCCCUUAAUGAACCGAACUAGCGUGAGAUUUAAUUCUGACUCAUGGGUUAAUAUUACUUGUGGUUAAUAAAAAAAAAAAAAAUCCUCAUUCACGAACUCAUCUAUUUUGAAACUUUGGAGGAGUAUAAUACUUGCAAUUUAACUCAAAAAUAGUCGAAAUAAAUUGAUUAUAGAAAUUUUCUUGUGUUUGUACUCUCAGGCUAUAGUUUCUUUAGCUUUGGCUCUUCUUGGUGGUUGUGCAUUUGCUUUGUUUUUGGGUUUGUUGUCAUUUUCUAUCAUAAUAUUACCAAAUCCACUAAUCAGCAAUAUAUUUUUAUUUUUAUUUUUUUUGAAAAACAAUAAAUUUUUAUUAAACUAUUAUCCUAAUGACAUUUGCAAUUGCUAUAUGACUCGAUACAUUUUAGUAUUAUCCGUAGCCUCUUAGGACACAAUUAUUUAUAUUUUAAAUUACAAGAAUCAUAUUGGAUAUGCUUAUCACUUGUAUAACAAUAGCAUCUUAGCAAGGACGAAUGUUCUUUUUCCUUUUUCUAAGAAUACAAGCUGAAAUAUUUUUAAUUGGUAAUUACAAUGAAUAUUCUUAAUUUUCAUUUUGAAUUAUAAUUAAAUUAUAAUUAAUUACCAAAAUAUCAAUUAUAUGAGUCGAGGUUAGUUUGGUUAAUUAAUAAAUCCUAAGGAAAAGACAAUCCUUGUUUGGGAUUAUAUCUUAAAUUAAGAAAUACACACUAUGUCUGUGCUCACUAAUCAUAAAUAUAAAUUCAGAAGAAAACAACCGCACAUCUUAGUUUGACUCUUAACUGUUUUAGCGCUAACUAAAUUAUUUUUAAUUAUGAUUAGUUUUUUACAAUUAGUAAAAAUUUGAAAGGUAAAGAUGUUGUAACACCUCAAAAUUUUUUUAUCUUAAAAUGAUAUUAUUUUAUCGGGUCAUGAAUGGUGCUACAGAGAAGGAGAUAAAAUUUUAUUUAGAUCCGAAGAAGAUAUUGAGUAGAAUUAACUAUGAAUGGAUAGUGAUUUACUAGUAUAUGAAUAGUACGAUCGGUCUGUGAAUAGUACUACCAGUCCGGGAGUCGGUAUUAUUUGGUCCAGAAAAAUUACUAUAUAUGUUUUAUAUUUUCUUUAAUAUGUUUGGAGUAUGUAGGCAUGAUUUUUAUGGGUAGAAAGUAAGUAAUGAAUAUGUUUGGAGAAUUUAGAUAAUAUUUAUGGAGUAAUUUGAGGAAUUACUUCUUUACGUCACUGAAUUUAGAUACUAUUUAGAUAAUAUCACUGAAGUAAUAUUUAUAUUACUUCUUUACGUCACUCAAAGAAGUAGUUAUCCUCCGUCGUCGGGUCUCACGGACUGGGUGGAGGGUGUUACAGAUGUAUAGAAUUCGAAUCUCUUUAAUUUUUUCAAUUUAAUAAAAAUUAUUAAAAGAAGAAAAUUAUUCUCCCUUCAGUGUAGUCCAAACAUCAUUUUAAUUCAUUUAGCUGCCUCCAAUAAAAAAUUUUUUUUUCUGAAAAUGGUAAAAGAAAUUAUUCUAUUAUGUAGGAAAUGCAUAAGAAAAUACAAGUUAAGCAAAGAGAGUUCCAAACUCAGAAGUACAAUCGAACAAAGACAAUAUAUAUAUAUAUAUAUAUAUAUAUAUAUAUAUAUAUAUUUAGUGGUAGAUUGGAUAUGAAUUUUAAAAUAAAAUCUGACCCGAAUAUGGAUCGGAUGCGGAUACAGGUUAUAUAUUUUUAAAUUGUUGAUUGUUAUUUUAAUGUAAUUAUCUUUAUUCUUGUCUUCUUUCUUUUUUGGCCUAAUGACUAAAAAAAAGUCUGAACUUUGACCUUUUUAUCAAUUCUAGCCAGUCUUUUAAUUUUAUCAAUCAAUACCGCAGACUUAAUUUUCUGUAUCAAUUCUAGCUUUUGUUUGUCUUCCGUCAAUUUCAUACUAAUAUGGCAGUUAUAUCUUAAAAUUGGGCUCUACAACAUCCAAUGUCAGCGUCAAAUCAUAUGUUCAUGUAUACUCAAAAAAAAAAAAAACCUGAACUUUAAAAUUUUUAUCAAAUAUGGUCAGUUCUUUUAAUUUUAUCAAUCAAUACCACAUACUAAUUAAUCUCUAUCAAAUGAUUUUGUUAUAAUAAUAAUGUAUUUGCACAAGCCAUCAACUCUAUAACAAUUAUUUUUAAUAAUAUUUUUGAUAUUUCAUAGUCACUUAAUGAAAAAAAAAGUGACAUUUGAAUUUUACAAUGUAAUACAAUUAUAUACGAAGCAUAGUACUACUUCUCUUCCAUAAUACUUGUCACAUUUGAGAAAAUAAUUUGUUUCAAAAUACUUGUCGCAUUUGUGGUUUCAAGGAGUAAUAAAUAUUUUUUUUCAUGUUUACCUUUUCUGUAUGACCAAUAUUUAGUACUUCAAUUUAAUGAUUUUCUUAGAAAAUUGGUAUUAAAUUAAGAGUAAUAUAGUCGAUUUACUCAAUAAUUUAUUGUAAUUUAGACAAAUUUAAUUGUUUUUUUAAGAAAUGUGAAAUUCCAAAUGUGACAAGUAUUAUGAAAUGGAGGUAAUAUAUUUUUCUAUAAAUGUUAAUAAAAUUAAAAUAAUUGAAUUUAUAAAUCUAAUAGCACUUCAAAAGGAGUACACGAAUUAUCUCACAUUAGUGGUAUAUGAGAGAAUUGAUGUAUAUAAUUUUUUUUUCUCGCUUUUUACAAUUUUAAUUACUUAAAUACAAAACCUUUAGAUCAGAAGUGGUAUAAUUUUACUGAUUACACCAAAUCUGUCCUUGUAAUAAUAUUCAAAACUAACUAGAAAAUUUAAUUAGGAAUGGUAGUACUAUUAUUAAUUUUACCAUCAAUAUAGUGGUUUUUUUAAAAAAAAAAAAUUUCGGUUAUUAUUGUUGGAUAUUAAGAUAUGUAUUUAUUAAUAAACUAUUUAAUUAAAUAAAUAUCAAUAUAACAAAAUCAUUCGAUGGACAUUAAUUAGUACACGAUAGAGAUUAAUUAAUACACGGUGUAGAUUGAUAAAAUUAAAAAAACUGGUCAGAAUUGAUAAAAUCGUUAAAGUUUAAGCUUUUUUUUUUAGUAUAUGUGAAUAUAUGACUUGGUGUUGAUAUUAGAUGCUGUAGGACUCACUUUUGCAAGAUAAUUGCCUUAUUGGUAUGAAAUCAACGGAAGACAAACAUAGGCUAGAAUUGAUAUAAAAAAUUAAGUACGCGGUAUUGAUUAAUAAAAUUAAAAGAACUGGUCAUAUUUGAUAAAAAUGUUAAAGUUCAUGCUUUUUUUUUUUUUUUUUGUCAUUAAGCUUUCUUUUUUUCCAUUUAAAUUUUAAAUCAUUAUCUCCAAUUCUUCCACCUUUUUCCUAUAUAUAUAUAUUUUUUUAACCUCUACAUCAAAUAAAAGAAUGAGUUGAACAUUAUAGCCAUGAUUUUUUGGGCUUAACAAUUAUUAAAUUCUCUUAUAGUUGUCCUAGUACAUAAUAUUUACAAUUAUUGUUAGGAUUUUUGUAUUUUCAAAGCAUAAUAAAUAAUAUAAAUAUUUAUUAAAUCAUUGUUCUGUUUUUUUCUUUUAAAUAUAAUAAUAAUAAAUAGAUAAUAUCUGAUUCGAUCUAACAUUGUAUCCGUCUGACUCCGAGUGAAGCAGAUAUGAAUAUAAACAUAUAAAAAUCUUUGCGACUCGGAUAUAAAUUUUGCAUAAUUUUUGUAUAAUCGGAUUCGAACCAAUCCAUAACCAUCCUACUCUUGAACUCGCAACAUGUUAGAAUAUCUCUCCGAUGGAAUAUUUCACACGCGGUUUAAAUUUCAAACCUUACGAAAUUCAAAUCUUGCCAAUUUUAAAUUUUGCAAUAUGAUUUAUAAAAUUGGUGUAUAUGUUUCGCAAUGUUGUUAUCUAAUACUACUUAUAUAUUCUAUUACUUUAAAUUUGAUACUUUUUCAAUUUGGAUAAGAGUUAGAAAAUAAUUCAACCGCCUCAAAUCUAAGAAAAAUUAAUGGUAAUUAAUUAAAUAACUCUUUUAUGAAUUAUUCAAAUAAUUAAUAUUUGCUGGAGAUAUCAAUACUUUUUUUUGAAAUGGAAUGUUUGCAUACAAUUCUGUCCCUCUCUUAUAAUCUAAAACCUAAAAAUUUUCAGUUUUUUUUUUUUUUUUCCACUGGCGGUCACCGGUGAGAUCUCACCGAUCUCACCCCUUUUCUUUUUUUAUUUGUUUUUUUGAAAAAAUUCUCAGAUCUAUAUAUAUAUUUGAGUUAUUUGUCGCCUAAAUAUUUAUUGUCCAUAUAUUGAGAUUUUGUUCUCAGAUCUAGUUUUGAGUUAUUAUUAUUACCAUUAUAAUUAUUUUGUCUAGCAGCUUUCGUUAUUUGGAUAGUUGUAUAGAAAGAAGAGAUCUCCUCUCAAGAAAAAAUUUGAAGGUAAUAAGAUCAGACUUGUAAAAAGACCAUGAAGUUGAAUAAUGGCCAUAAAUAGCCACCGAGUGGAGCAAGCGGUCUCCGAUGACACAAAUAUUAUGUUAUAUCAACUCGAUCAGAUAUUUCAAAUUAAGAUUGUAUUUUUUUUAUUCUUUGUAUAAAUUAUUCAUUAUUAGAUUUAUUAUACAAAAAUUUAUAAACAUAUUCAUAGAUAUCUCAUAUCUGUAUACAGUUUCCUCUUAAUGAAAUUCUAGUUUGAUUUUUUCUAAAAAAAAAAUCUGCAUACAAAGCAUAAGAAAUAAUACUAUCAAACAACUCGAAAAAUUGAAUUAAAAUUUUUUUUUAAAAAAAAAAUAUCAUAUUAAACGGAACAUAGAGAGUAAUUAAAAAAUGAAAAUAAUAAUGGUCACUUUCAUUGUCCAGCAGUUGAAAAGAGGAAACCACUGAUAUUUUAAAUCACAAGUUUUAUUUGAUCGAAUUUAAUUUUUCCAUUUUCAAUUAUCUUUUAUGCUUAAAAAAACUACACAUUUUUGGAAAAAGAAAAAAAAGAGGUUCUGUUUGCAUAAGUUAUUAAUUGAGCAUUAACUUAUUCAAUAAAAUUUUGAAGAGACUUAAAUCGUUAUUUAAAAAAAAAUCUAAGUUAUUUAAAAAAUAUAUAUAUAUUAUUGUCUAUAAAUGUAAAUCGUUUUGAAAUAAUGAAUUGUUUGUUAUAAUAUAGUAGAAUUAAAUAUUUUCACCAUGCAAAAAAAGAAAAAUGAUUUAGAUUUGUGGCCGGAGGGAGUAACAUAUACAAAUAUCCAAUUAUUAGACAAAUAACUUAACAUAAAAAAAGGUAUAAUCAAAAGAAUAUUCUAUCAUAUAUCAAAUUGUUUAAUUAUAAUUUUAAUAAAUUUGGAGUUAAUGAUACUCAAAUCAUUUGAAAUUUUGUAAAAUUAGCAGUAAUGUGUGUACGUGUGUGCAUGUAAAAUGAAAUGGCCGGCAAAUAUAUCUCGUAUCUCAUAGCACCUUCUAUAAAAAGACCAAAAAGAACCAUUUGAGCAUCACUAUAUCUCCUUUCUAGCAAUGGGUUCACUUAACAUCAAACCUCAUGUACUUCUUCUUCCAUAUCCAGCACAAGGCCAUGUCAAUCCUCUAAUGCAGCUGGCCAAGCUUUUGCAUUCCAAUGGUUUUUACAUAACUUUUGUCAAUACUGAAUUUAAUCGGACUUUUUUAAAAGCCUAUUAGAUUUUAGGUUCGAAACGAUACCCGACGGGUUGCCACCUUCCGACCGGGAUGCAACCCAAGAUAUUUGGGCCCUUAGUGAUUCGAUUCAAAAGAAUUGUCUGAAUCCAUUUAAAGGGCUACUAGCAAAGUUAAAUUCAUUGCCAGAAUUACCUCCAGUUAGUUGCAUUAUAUCUGAUGGCUUGAUGACCUUUGCAAUUGAAGCUACCCAAGAAUUUGGCAUUCCAGAAGUUCAAUUUUGGACUGCCUCAGCUAUUGGUCUUAUUGGAUUUUUGCGUUUUGAUGAACUUAUAAAGAGAGGCAUUGUUCCCUUUAAAGGUACAUUUUCUUGUCUUUGAUUUUUUUUUUUUUUUCAAAUGGUUAUGUUAGUUCCAAGUAGAAACAAAGAGCAUACCUUGGCCUUACGUUCUUGAAAUGUUUUCUGGCUUUUUUAAACCACAAAAUGACUUUUUAUUCUUUUUCAUAUGGAAAAUCAAAAAAUGAAAUUUCUUUUUUAUUUAUUAAUUUCAAGCAAACAUUUGAGCAAUACUUUCUCACCAUCGCCAUCUUCAAAUAAAAUAUAAGUCUUGAAAAUGCCUUUCAGAUGACAACUUCAUGAACGAUGGCAGUCUUGAUUUAGCACUUGAUUGGAUGACGGGCGUUGAAAACAUUCGACUUAAAGACAUGCCAACUUUGAUCAGAACGACAGAUCCUGAAGAUAUAAUGUUAAAUUUUAUGAGCAAAGAAGCAAAAAAUUGUUUAAAAUCUUGUGCAAUCAUCUUCAACACAUUUGAUGAGCUUGAACACCAAGCACUGAAUGAAAUUAAGUCCAGAUGCCCUAAUAUAUAUUCAAUAGGUCCACUUUCCUUACUCGAAAGGCAGUUUCCAGUUACCCUAGCAAAGUCACUUAGAUCAAAUCUAUGGAAAGAAGACUCAAAAUGUUUUGAAUGGCUAGAUAAACAAAAUCCAGAAUCAGUUCUUUACGUGAAUUAUGGAAGCAUAACUGUAAUGACAGAGCAACAAUUUGAAGAAUUUGCAUGGGGCCUGGCCAAUAGCAAGCAUCCAUUUUUGUGGGUGGUCAGACCGGACGUCGUGAUCGGAAAUUCCAGGAUUUUGCCGGAAGAAUAUUAUCAAGAGAUUAAGAAUAGAGGGUUUAUAGCGCCCUGGUGUUGGCAAGAACAAGUACUGUCUCACUCAUCAGUUGGUGCAUUUUUAACUCACAGUGGAUGGAAUUCUACCUUGGAAGGUAUAUGUAAUGGUGUGCCUAUGCUCUGUUGGCCUUUCUUUGAUGAGCAACCCAUGAAUUGUUUAUAUUCUUGCUCUAAAUGGGGCAUUGGCAUGGAGCUUAGCCAUGACGUUAAGCGUACUGAAAUUCAAACUCUUGUCAAGGAAAUAAUGCAAGGAGAGAAAGGAAAGGAAAUGAAAAAGAAUUCUUUACAAUGGAACAAGAAAGCAGAGGAAGCUACGAGCCUGGAAGGAACAUCCUACAACAACUUUAAGAUUUAGAAGACAGGAUUCCUUAUUUAGAUUUUAGAGGAGCUAUAUGAUUGUUUCUUGUUUGUUUGGCCUUUCCUCAUUGAAAUUCAAGCUCUCACUAGCAAAAUAUGAUUUAGAAGACAGGAUUUUACAUAUUUUGCCUUUUCGUAUAGUUAAGGCAGGCUAAGUGACUUCUUUGUGAUUGCCUUUCCAUUUGAAGCCAGAACCACUUUCCAAGAUUGCCUUUUUCUUAUCCUCUUUUGUGUUAAAUAUUCUGCAUGUAAAUUUUCAAUCUCAUAUUUGAUUAUUCAUGAGCCCAUUGACUAUAUGCAAUAUAGCAGUUAUCCUCAUAUUUAUUUUCUGCAAUGUUUUAUAUUUUAUCAACUUAAAUCACUCAAUUCAAUGUCUUUUUUUUUUUCAGCAUGAGAGCCAUAGACUUCUUUUGCUCUGUCGACAAAGUCAAAGGUGUGGAUGGAAAAGAUCGUGUAGUUGUGACAUUUGAUGGGAAGUAUUUGCCUCAUACUGAGCAGGUUUGUUGACUUUGGUGUUGUGUGAUUACCUAGGAAACAUGUAAACUGUCGAGAAAGAAGGCGAAUUCUAUUGUGGAGCCGUAUGAAUGCACAAAAAAUGCCUGUACGGUUGUUUAAUCAUGCUUGUCAUUGAUUUUUCUGAUGUAGAGUAAACAUUAAGAAGAAAAGUGGGUGAACAGUACGAAUGCUUCGAAUAUCUUUUUGCAGUUGAUCCUAUUAAAGUGUCUUCAUCAAAAUCAUACAUUCAACAACCAAUUUCAAGUAUUGCUCAUACAGUUGGUGAUAGGUUGCCCUACCUUUUGUGAAAAUACAUAUAGAAGAUAUAUAUAUAUAUAUAUAUAUUAUAUAUAGAAUAAUUGAUGAUAUAGGAAAUUUAACUCCCAACCAGUUUAUACAAUACGAAUACAUGCAUAUAUAUAUAUAUAUAUAUAUAUAUAUAUAUGUAUGUUCACAUGUUUUUGUAUGUGUAAACUGGGUGGGAGUUAACUUCCUUAUAUCAUCAUAAAAAAACAUUGCAUCUGAUCCUGAUUAGAUAAAGAUAAAGAAGAGAAAGUAGAAAACUAAAUGGGAUGGGUUUUCCUCAAUUAUUCAAGAUAUUGAACAAAUUCUUGACUGUAGUGCACACGCGUUAUAUCUAAUGCUCUCUGGAAUUCUCCUGCAGGAUAUUUCAUUGUAUAAACUAAAAUGUGUAAUCAUUUAUCAAAUGAAACUUACCAUGUUACCUAGUCUUCCUCUUAGGAAGUUGAUUGACAAAUCUGUUUGAAAUUCUCCCUUUUUCCUUGCAGAAGUCAGAGCACAUGGUUUCAAGACUGAGGCUUAAUGGAAAUUGAUCAAUUCUGAUGUUGAUGCAGAUGCUAUGUGAGCAUAUUUGCUACUGUGUAAAUUGAGUCAUUGGAGUUAGUCUUAUAUUCUUAUGGGCUUAAUUUGUCAGAUGAUGAAUAAAAUAAGUACCCUGGUUGUCGCACUCGGAUCUUAUAGGGCUGCAAGUACCAAUAUAAAAUUGUUUGCUCACUUUACAUGUUAUGGAUUGGAAAUGAAUAGAAGGUUGCAGCACUUGUAAUAAAUUCAACUGGUAUUGCCUGAUUAAAACAGAUUCUGAAAUUUAUCAUGGAGUUGAUGGCCGGAUUUUCUUACAUGAAAUGAAAUGUAGGGAUCUCAUUCCUUUGACGUCACUAUAUUCUAUCACACCGUUCUUUCCUUUACAUGAAAUUCAUUUUAUAGUGAUUUCUACAUUUGCCAUUUCUCCCCAUCAGCCUCACUACAUUCAUCAUCACAACCUCAUCAAUGUCAUGGUUAAUGUUAUUAUGAUUCAAAGCCCCAGUUGCCUAUGUUAUUUUUCAUUUCAUCAUUGUAUUAUCAUGGCUGUGUUGUGGAAAUUGAUACCAUUAAUGGUACAGUGGUUACCAACUCCGUUAUCAUAUUCAUGCCAUCGUAUCACAACUAUUUUGGCAACGAGUUCACAUGCAAAUCCCUUCUAUUGAAUUGGAAUGCUCUAAACUGUUUGAAUCUUAUAUACUUUAAGAUCACUGAACGAAGGAAAUAGAUUAGCUAUUAUUACUGAUUGUUCUAUCCUCAACAAUCAGAACCAGAUGAUAAAAUGUCGAAAUAUGAUCAAGCACUUUACAUAUCUGAACAAGUACUUGGCCAAGUUCUCCAAAAUAUAAGCAUGUGAAAAUGCUACCACUAUAUAGGAUUUUUAGAAAUCAAAUUUUACAUAACAAUAUCACAAGGCUAUUGAUACAACUUCAAAAGUUUCAUUAUUACUAUGAUUCUACAUGGGUAAUACUUGCCUGAACUAGGCCUUCAUGAACCAAUACACGCAUGGGGCGAAUCGCAUAUGGAAAUGGGAUUCACCACAUGUCUCUUGGUCCAUCAUAGACCAAGUUCAGCAAGUUUUUCCAAGAUUAUGCAAUGGCAUAUUCUCCACCUUGUACUGGAGGCUUUUACACUUCUGCAUUUUCCAUCAUUGCAUCAGUCUAUGACUUGAUCACCACAAUAGAUAGCUUCCUUAAUAAAUCUGCUAAAGUUAUUGUAAGAUGAUCCUCCAAUUUUUGUAGCUGCUUCUGCUUUCUUUUUCCACUCUAAUGCCUUUUCCUUCUUCCCAUUUUCCCCUUCCAUCAUUUCCUGAAUAAGACUUUCAAUUUCAUUUCUCUUCACAUCAUGAUUAACCUCCAUCCCAUUCCCCCAUUUUUCGCAUGCAUAUCGACAGUUAGUUUGCUGAUCAGCGAAAAAAGGCCAGCAUAUUACUGGAACGCCAUGACAAACACUUUCCAUCAUAGAAUUCCAACCACAGUGUGUGAUAAAAACACCAACUGCUGGAUGUGCAAGCACUUGAUUUUGUUCGCACCAACUGGUUAACAAUCCUCUUUCUUUAGUUUCCUCAACAAAUUCUUCAGGCAAAAUUGCAGAAUCUCCCAUAACUACAUCUUGCCUAAUAAUCCAUAAAAAUGGGUGUCUGCUAUUUGCAAGACCCCAAGCAAACUCUUUUAAGUCUCUAUCUGUCAUCAUAGCCACACUACCAUAAUUUACAUACACAACAGAUUUAGCUUCUCUUUUAUCUAACCAUUUUAGGCAAUUCGAAUCUUCUUUCCACAAACUUGAUUUUACUGAGUUGAGUUCAUUUUCUUGGAUUUGCUUUUCAAGCAAAGGGAGAGGGCCUAUAGUAUAAAUGUUAGGGAACUUGUGAUCAACUAUAGCUCGUAAAACUUCAUUUUCGAAUUCGUGGAAUGUGUUGAAGAUAAUUGCACAAGAGUUCAAGCAGUUUUCUGCCUCUGAUCCCAUGAAAUCAAACAUUAGUUCAUCAUUUGUGGUUCUGAUAAAUGUUGGCAUGUCCUUUAACUGGAUGUUAGUCAUCCCAGGGAUCCAAUCAAUGGGGGUUUUACUAAUGUCAUUGCAGAGGAAAUUCUCAACUGAAACAAUCAAGGAUAAAAAUUUUACUCAUUCACGUUUAAAAACUAAAUUCGAUUUUCUUUUCUUUUUUUUUUUAUUGGUUUUAACCAUCCGGUGUAUAAAGUUCAUUAGCCCGACUAAUUCGGAUUUGCGUCGGACAAGCCCACAAAGAGGGGUAAAUUUCAUAUCCAGGCUCAAACUCGAUACCUCUAGUUAAGAGAGAAAGGAUCCCUAUCAUCCCAUCUCAUUUCUUAGAAGUUAAUUUUCUUUUAUUUAUAUAGCUAAACUUAUUUAGUAGGAUAAAAAAAUGUCAUAUUUGAUCUAUCAAAUCAAUUUAACCUUUGACCUUGUUGAAAAUGGUUAAAAAUGUGAGUUUUGACUUUUUAGACCAAUUUAGCCCUUAGAAUUUGUUUUAUAUUUUUAUAAAUUAAUAAAUUGAUUUAAUCUAACACAUGUAAUGUAACUUUAAUUUGUUUGACAUGAGAAAUGCAUGGAUUUCCUAUGUAAUAGCCCACAGAUAAAUGUCAAUUCUAAAAUAUUCGAAUUAAUACAUACUUAUGGACUCAAAAUUAUUAGUCAAGAUAAAAAUACUAUUAGUCAACAUAAAGAGGAAUAUAAUACAUUCCAUAUAUCCUUUUCAUCUAUUUCAUAUUUAAUUAAUUACUUUAAAUAAAUUGUACAAUUUGAUCCCAAGUAUAGUCUUAAAUGCAUGUAAAUACAGUGAAGAAUCAACAACUAAAUUGACUCAAAAUGUUAAAUAUGAUAUUUUUAAACAUUUUAAAUAAAUUCAGUGGCUAAAUUAACUGAAAAUGUUAAAUAUGAAUUUUUGAAAAUUUUAAAAUCAACAAGUUCAAGGUUUAAAAUUCAUCUUAUUAUAUAUAUUCAGCUAUCAAAUUGUUCUUUAUUCCAAUUUUAAAAUAGCUUACUCAAUAUACCGAAGCCGAGAAAGAUGUACCUUGAUGUGGGACGAGGCCUCUUCUUCUGAGUUCACUAAAGUGUAAAUAACCCAUGAAACUGCAAGCUGAGGCAGUCCAAAACUGAACCUGAGGUAUAUUUAACUCCUCUCCAGCUUUGAUUCCAAAACUCAUAACACCAUCUGAAAUUAUACAACUAACAUGAGGCACAUCAUCACUAUUAUGAGAUAAUAAAUUUAACUUGUUGAUUAACUCUUUAAAUGGAGCUAAACAAUUCUUUCUAGUUGCAUCGCACAAGGAAGGAACAUCUUGUGUGGCAUCAUAAUCAUCUGGUGGCACCGGCAGACCGUCCGGUAUAGUCUCAAAUCGAAAAUCCGGCAAACCCUUCACGGAAACCGGUCCUCUAGACCGGAUUAGACAUCUGUGGUUGAACUCUGUGUUAACAAAAGUUAUGUAAAGGCCAUUUGAGUGUAAAAGCUUGGCCAGUUGCAUCAUUGGGGUCACAUGGCCUUGUGAUGGAUAUGGGACACAUACGAUGUGAGGCUUUUUGAGAACUUUAACUGUACCCAUUUCUUAAUUUUUCCUUUUUGUUUCUUCUUUUGUAAUGGAUUGGAAAAGCUUUCCUAGUUCAGGCAAGAUCUUUGCCUGAACUGAUGAAGUGGUGUCGCAGUUGAAAGCACUCAGGUUUUUG